CUGCAAGAAAAGAGACAUAAGGGGUGUGUGGUGAUCAUUGUAUGAAGGAAGGAAACCCAAGGUACUCAACCUAUUGAUGCACAUGGACAUGAUGACUCUCUAGCGUUUAUGGACCAACCAACCUGUAAUCAUGGACCUUAUUUUCUUGUAGACCAUUUGGUGUUUCGAGUGUUUUGGAGCUUGCACUUUGUGCAUGUAGAUACAAACUUGUGUGUUCUGGACCAUCCGAAAUCUCUCAUAGUAACCAAUAGUCCUUAUAUUUUUGUGACUUGUGUGUUCUAGAUGAUUGUUAAGAUGGUCAAAACUAUGCUUCCUCUAGGUUAA